rnacentral:rRNA from 1 species
AUUGAACGCUGGCGGCAGGCCUAACACAUGCAAGUCGAGCGGCAGCGGGACCUUCGGGUUGCCGGCGAGCGGCGGACGGGUGAGUAAUGCCUAGGAAUCUGCCUGUUAGUGGGGGAUAACGCGGGGAAACUCGCGCUAAUACCGCAUACGUCCUAUGGGAGAAAGUGGGGGACCUUCGGGCCUCACGCUAACAGAUGAGCCUAGGUCGGAUUAGCUAGUUGGUGGGGUAAAGGCCCACCAAGGCGACGAUCCGUAACUGGUCUGAGAGGAUGAUCAGUCACACUGGAACUGAGACACGGUCCAGACUCCUACGGGAGGCAGCAGUGGGGAAUAUUGGACAAUGGGCGAAAGCCUGAUCCAGCCAUGCCGCGUGUGUGAAGAAGGUCUUCGGAUUGUAAAGCACUUUAAGUUGGGAGGAAGGGCGCUCGGUGAAUACCCAGGCGUCUUGACGUUACCGACAGAAUAAGCACCGGCUAACUUCGUGCCAGCAGCCGCCGUAAAAC